rnacentral:lncRNA from 1 species
AUACAUUUAUAAAAAUCAGACGUUUUAAAUUAUUAUAAGAGGUUAUAAGUCAUUUAUAGAAGCUUAUACAUUAAUUUAUAAAAUGUAUUUUGAAAAUUUAUCCUCAUAUUACUGUAUUUUGAUUUUUUUUCAUUUUAAUGGUAAAAUUCCUCAACUAUGUUUACUUAGUGUAGAAACCCCUACACUAAAGAUUUACUGGUAGUAAUAGUAUGGAUUUUUAAUGUUAAAACCUCUCAACUAAGUUUAUU